UUACGGCCAUAUCACGUUGAAAACAACGGUUCACGUACGAUCACCGAAGUUAAGAAACGACCAGCCUGGUUAGUAUCAAGUUGGGUGACCGCUAGGGAAUACCAGGUGCUGUAAU